AGUGAACGCUGGCGGCAGGCCUAAUACAUGCAAGUCGAACGGCAGCACAGCAGAGCUUGCUCUGUGGGUGGCGAGUGGCGGACGGGUGAGGAAUACAUGGGAAUCUGCCCAGUCGUGGGGGAUAACGUAUGGAAACGUACGCUAAUACCGCAUGCGCCCUAAGGGGGAAAGCCGGGGACCGCAAGGCCUGGCGCGAUUGGAUGAGCCCAUGUUCGAUUAGCUAGUUGGCGGGGUAAAGGCCCACCAAGGCGACGAUCGAUAGCUGGUCUGAGAGGAUGAUCAGCCACACUGGAACUGAGACACGGUCCAGACUCCUACGGGAGGCAGCAGUAGGGAAUAUUGGACAAUGGGGGCAACCCUGAUCCAGCCAUGCCGCGUGAGUGAAGAAGGCCCUCGGGUUGUAAAGCUCUUUUGUCCGGAAAGAAAAGCAAUCGGUUAAUACCCGGUUGUUCUGACGGUACCGGAAGAAUAAGCACCGGCUAACUUCGUGCC
rnacentral:rRNA from 1 species